AUGGUGUCCGAUGAUUGGAAGGGAAGUACUUGGAACGGUGUUGCUGAUUAUGUGUUCGCUGAAGAGCUGCUAUCUAGUAAUAUGUGGUGGGCAGCUUUAGAGUGGGUUCUUGCUGUGCUAGAGCCACUCUACAAAGCCCUUAGAUAUGCUGAUACACAAAAGAGAUGCACCCUAUCUGGAUUCAAGAAGAGUAUGAUGACAGCCAUACAAAAGUUGGAAAGUCAUCUUGGUGGUGGAUCACAAAUGUUUCAUAGAGUCAUGAGCAAGGUGUCCAAGAGGAUCGAUGCUAUGCAAGAAGGCACACUAUUGGUUGCAGAUGCCAUUGAGAAGAUCGCAGACCCUGAGACCGCUGUUUUGGCUAUUGAUGAAGUCAGCACUUACAGAGAAUGUCGUGGGAGGUUUGGCUCAAGGUUGGCACGUUCCUCUGUAGAGAAAAUGUCACCAACUGAGUGGUGGUUCCAAUUUGGAGGGGAAGUUCCUAAUCUGCAGAAGUGUGCCUUGAGGAUUGUAUCACAAUGCGUUUCGUCAAGUGGCUGUGAGAGGAAUUGGAGCGCUUUUGCUUUGGUCCACACGAAGCAAAGAAACCGUCUUCUAUAUGGCAAGCUGCACAAGCUUGUAUCUGUGCGCUACAACUUGAAGAUACGUGCUGAAGAAGAAGAAGACCCGGUGAGAGAGAAUGAUAAGCAGAAGGAAGUUGAUGCAUGUGCAAUGAUGAUGGAUACAACCAUGUUUGAUGCAACAAAUCCUAUGAUGGAAUGGUUGAAUGAGGAUGAGGAGCAUGCAAUCUUGGAUGGAGUUGAUGCUGCUAGCGCCGUGUUUGAGAAAAUACGUUUGCUUAACUCAAGUAGGAAAGUGUCUCGUCUUGCAAGGAAGGAUAAUGGCAGGAAAAGAAAGAGGGUAGAGGAAGAAGAGGAUGACUACCAUGAUAGUGAGGAUGAUGAUGAAGAGAAUGAGGAGCUGGACCUGGAAAUUAAUGAUGAUGGUAGCCAUGAUGAUGGUGCAAGAAGUCCGAAGUGA
rnacentral:rRNA from 1 species